GAGACCCGUACCCACAGUUGCCAGCGGCUGCUCCGGCAGGCUGGGUACACUAUGGGGACCGCCUCUGCUAAAGAGGAGGAAGGAGCGGGCAACGGUAGGUCAGUAUGCCCCGAAUAUCCCGGGCUACACGCGAGCUACAAUGGUUGGUACAAUGGGUAUCUACCCCGAAAGGGGAUGGAAAUCUCCUAAAGCCAAUCUUAGUCCGGAUUGAGGGCUGCAACUCGCCCUCAUGAAGCUGGAAUCCGUAGUAAUCGCGUUUCAACAGAACGCGGUGAAUAC
rnacentral:rRNA from 1 species